AUCCAUAUAUCUCCUGCUUUCUUUCCAUCUUGGUCCCCUCCUAUAGCUCUGUGUUUGGUGCUAGGAGCCUUCUCACCUCUGUCUUUCCCAGGAGAUCAACAUCUGGUGUCUCUUAGGUAUGAAGCAAACAACCCGAUGCAACCAGAGAACACACUGCCUGAAUGACACAGUCUGCAUCCAAGUGACUAAGACCUAUGGGCAAAUGGAGACUGUGCCAGAAGUAUCCAUUACUGGCAAAGGCCAGCUCUGCUGCGUAAUGGUGUACUAUCCAGUGAAUGGACCAGACAAGGCAUCUCAUUUCUGGAGUUUCUUCUCUGCUGACCAUUAUCUUCACAGAAGUUGCCCUUGGGGACCAGGGCACACCACUUCACUUAUAUCCAAGCAGGUCCUACCCAUUGAUACCAGGUUCAGACAGUAUCUGACAAUACUGCUCAUUGGGAAAGAAAAGGUAAAAAAGGAUACAUUUUCUACAAUUAUGACACU
rnacentral:lncRNA from 1 species